CUUGGAGCAGCUGCUGCUGCUGGGCAGAUGCUGCCAGUGUGACUGCUUCCAAAGGGGACUAAAGGCAGAGAUGUACAUGCACAGGAGCCCUGGGCAUGUCCGAUAAACGUGCAAAUAUAUGGGGAGAUUUGUUAGCAAUUAUUUCAGCUGUUAUGCCAACAGUGGCUUCUCUCCUGGCUCUGUGUGUUACAGAUGAGUAACGUAAUGGUUGGCUCUCACAAUUAAGAGAUAGAUAUUAUAUGGAUGUAAAAAUAUAAAGUGAUGUUAUCGUAAUAUAUCCUCCCAUUGUCCUCUUUCCCCUCCCCCUUGUAAUAACCUUGGUCGUCAGGGCAUUUGGGGAGGGCUGGCUUGUGACCAGGAGGCGAGGUGUAAAACACCUGACCUCCAAUCAAGAUGUAAGAAAGUAAUCUCCAGCAAUGGAUAGCAGAGAAAGAGUUGACUGACCAAACUUUUGGAGGGGCUAAGGCUAUCAAAGGCAGAGUAUCUCUUUUGUAGAUGAGGAUGUGGCUGCAAGUCACAGAGACUGUCAGUGCUGAACAUUUUUCCUUGUUCAGUCCUUUGUUAAGGUUUAAUAAACCUUUAAAAUGUUCAAAGUGAGAGUCGUUUCUCACAUGUGCAAUGCUGUGGGCCAUUUUCUCGAUCUGGUUUCCUUUACAUGGGUCCCAUCUGAGUGCUCACUUGGGCUACAGGCUGUAGGUGCUUGGGGCACUCUUGGAGUUGCUCUUGGAUCCCUUGAACAAUGGGGUUUGACCCAGGAGGGCAAUUUGUGCUGCUUUGUGGCAGAGGAGAACUUCCCAGGCUAUUUUGUGUUUGCUGUGGGGAAGGUUGGUUAUUGCUUUGCAUAAAGUCACAGACCAGCAUGGAGCGUUUGCUUUGUGAUGUCAGGGCAUGGUUGCCACGUCACAGUGGUGACAUGAGAAGGUUGCCUUGGUGCACGGAAGGCCUCAGUGUCAGAGCAGCCCUAGGGCUUGCUCAGAGCAGGAGCACCCUGCGCCUUGAGGCAUUUGUCAGUGGGCAGCUGCACACUGACAGGAGCCUUGUUUGUUCUAGUGUUGGAGCACAGCGUGCAAACUUGCACAGCAGUGCUACAAUGAUUCAGCAGCUUGCUGCUGCAGUGGUUACUGUUUACGGCGUGACUUAUUCCGGCUAUUUUCUGACUCACCUGGCACGUCACAUAAAACAUGUAUUCAGUGGAGCUGCUCCUGAGGUGAGUGAGAAAGGAAGAUUUCAUGUUCCUCCUAUUUAAAAAUUCCGGAGCGAGCUGUCACCUUGACUAGACACAGAAGAGUAUAGAGGGCCAGCAAGGACGGCCAAAAGAAAAUCCAGAGAGAAACGCCCAAAGAAAAUAAUUCCCAUGACUUCAACAACAACAACAACAACAACAACAACAACAACAACAACAACAACAACAACAACAACAAAAAGGAGUGGAUAUUUCCUAAUUUCAAUCUCAGAAAUCUGAAGAAAGAGAACUGAAGAAUUUCCAUAGAUACCCAUAUGACAGUGCUCAGCACAAGGGCUGCUGCCCUGCCAAACCUGCCCUCAGUGCAUCCAAGUGCUUUAGACACUGGAAUGGCUCACUUGCAUCCUGGGGCUUGUAGGUGUUUUUGUGCCUGAGAGGACUGGAUUUUCUUCACUCAAACCACAUGAUCCACCGAGGUCUGAAGAGCUGCAACAUCCUUCUCGGAACCAAUGGCUCUGUCAAGCUGGCUGACUUUGGCCUCUUUGCUCAGCUCACUCCUGAGCAGAGUAGACAAAGCUCCGUGGCCAGCACUUCUGGGUGGAUGGCGCCUGAAGUGGUGACAGGUCAACCAUAUGGCCCCAAAGUGGACAUAUGGUCUUUUGGAAUCGUGGGCAUUGAAAUGGUGGAACGAGAAGCUCCUUACUGGAAAGAAACUUCUGGCAUGCCUCAACUCAUGAUAGCCAGACGAGGGAUACCAAAGCUGCUGCAGCCCAACCUGUUUUCACCUUGGCUGUGUGACUUCCUGAGCUGCUGCCUGCAGACAGACAAGGAGCAGCGCUGGUCUGCCAAGGAGCUCCUGCAGGUAAAAUGCAAAGGGGCCGCAGGUGAAACAGGGUGCGAGGGAUGGGAUUCCUGAGAAUCCCCUUUGAAAUACUGGAACAUAGCAAUGAAGUCUCCCUGGGGCCUGUUCUCCUCUAGGCUGAAUAACUCCUGGUGUCUCAGCUUGUCCUCAGAAGAGACGUGCUCUGUCCUCUGACUGCUUCUGUUGCCCUGUUUUGUAAUUUGGUGGGGUGCUCCAUUUUAUCCAAUGGCAAAAGAAUUGAAGUAGAGCAAUGCAGGGUACAGAGACAUGCAAAGGUGGUGCAGGAACCCAAGGAAGCCAGGCUGGCUGAGUGUUCAGAGAUUUGGCUGUGGGCAGGAGGGACUGUGGGGGGCUCACUGUGAGCCUCUGAGGGGCCCUGGUUUGUGCCCCCACCCCACCCUUCGAGGCUUCUGGCACGCAAACAGGGAGAGCUGAGAGGGACUUGUCCCAGCCCCAUCUGCUGCCUGGCACGCUCAAGCAGACAGGAACUGCCCCAGGGUUACUGCCAGGUUGUGUGGCAGAGAGGGAAGUGCAGCAGCCAGUGCCACUGGGCUGUCCCUGCUGGGAAGGAAGGUGCCAUCCAGCACAGGAGGGGCAGGGCAGGGCAUGGAAAGGUAGACACUGCUCUGUCUCCCUGUGGGAAUCAGCACAGUGCCUGUCUUUCAAAGACAGGGACCAAUGUGAGGCUUUGGAGUUUCCUGAAAAGAAGAAACUCCAAGGACAGAAAGCACCAUUUCUAGAGCACUGGCAGGGCAAAAAUCCCAGCAAGAUGAAGACACCUGGUUAAAUGGAUGAGUGGGAGUCUUGGCCAGGUUUGCCUGUGAUGGCAAGGUCCUGCACAUAAAGAUGGAGGUGCAGAUGGUCCAUCUUUCUGGAUCUUUCUAGGAGCCCUGUGAAUCCUGUGAAGCACUGAGCUCGGAAAGUCAUGGUUCAUUGAUUUUUGUUGAUUUUCUUUUUUCCUUUGGGCAGCAUCCAUUUGUAAGAUUUGCUGAGCCUGCAUCCAGCCUGGUGCCACUGAUUGUUUCAGUGAAGAAGAGGAAUGACCAAAGAAACUGAAAAUCACAUCAGGACCAUUUACUUCUCAACCGGCACAGGGCAGGAUUGUAGGUUCGGACAAGGGUUAGGGUUAGGGUUAGAGUUGGGGUUAGGGUUAGGGUUAGGGUUGGGG